GCUAGAGCUCGCCGGGGCCCAGGGUGGCCUCUGGCUGUGACGGGGCGGGGACGGAGAGUCCAGAGGAGGGGGGUGGACCGGGAUGCACUCCGAGGCUGCCUUUGGGGCUCGGAACCUGGAACGCCACCGUGCCCGGGUGGGGGUGGCCUGGCCGCGAUGCCCAGCCUGGGACGAAAGUACAUUGCUGCCACUCAAGGCGAUGGGGCUGAGGCUCCCAGACUGUGGACGCUGAUUUCCUAGUGGAUGGCUUUUGAUGCGGGGAUAAGGCUGUUUUCCCAUUUUGGCAAUAGAGGAAUGCUCACCAUAUUUGGAAACGGAUUUCACCAAGCUCCAGUGACAGUUGGUGGAGGUUGAAGCUGGUAACUCAUGGCGUUUAAAGUGCUAUCAGAGGCUAGAAGACAAAUUAAGAACUUAACCCACAACAGAUCAACCAAUUUCUUAGGAAUCAAAGAUCAACACUGGAGUAUUUCCUAAGAAAGCUUCCUUGGAGGUUGCAACAGGGGAGCAGAGCCAUUUGCACACCUGGACAAAAUCAGAAGGAUCAUUUUCAGUCAUUAUACCUUGUUUAAGAAGCAUGUACACAUUACAAUUAUUUUCAUCCAUGCAUUCUUGGUAACCAUACGAAACUUAGUCAUGUGUGAAUAAGCUGUAAGUACCAGAUCCAGGAACUAUAUUGUUCUCUUUUUGAAUCUAAUUCAGUCAUAUGUAACUGUGACCAAAUCUCAAUAAACAUUACCUAUUGGCCAUCUUA